GGAAGUAACAGUCGUAACAAGGUCUCCGUAGGUGAACCUGCGGAGGGAUCAUUACAGAGUUCAUGCCCUACCGGGUAGAUCUCCCACCCUAUGUUAUUAUUACUUUGUUGCUUUGGCGGGCCGUUAGGCUCCGGCCCGACUACCGGCCCCGGCUGGUAAGCGCCCGCCAGAGGACCCAAAACCCUGAAUAUUAGUGUCGUCUGAGUACUAUAUAAUAGUUAAAACUUUCAACAACGGAUCUCUUGGUUCUG
rnacentral:misc_RNA from 1 species